UCAAACUUGGUCAUUUAGAGGAAGUAAAAGUCGUAACAAGGUUUCCGUAGGUGAACCUGCGGAAGGAUCAUUACCAAUCUUUAGUGAGCCUGGACUCUGUUCAUGGUCUCACGAAAUCUUGUAUUUAAAACCCACUCAUAACUAAAAACAUGUAGUAAUAUGAUAAUUAAAGAUCACUUUCAACAACGGAUCUCUUGGCUCUCUCAGAUGUGUAUAAGAGACAGUCAAACUUGGUCAUUUAGAGGAAGUAAAAGUCGUAACAAGGUUUCCGUAGGUGAACCUGCGGAAGGAUCAUUACCAAUCUUUAGUGAGCCUGGACUCUGUUCAUGGUCUCACGAAAUCUUGUAUUUAAAACCCACUCAUAACUAAAAACAUGUAGUAAUAUGAUAAUUAAAGAUCACUUUCAACAACGGAUCUCUUGGCUCUCGCAUCGAUGAAGAACGCAGC
rnacentral:misc_RNA from 1 species